CAGGCGGCUGUGCUAUCAUCCGUCCUCCCAGAGAUGGAGGGAUAAGGUACAGAGGACUGACCCAAGAGCAGAUCCGCAGUGUGCAGGUUCUCCCCCUCGACUAUGAGAUUGAGUACAUCUGCAGAGGGAACAGGUGGAUCGUAGGACCCAAGGUGAGGAAGUGUCUCCCCAACGGUACCUGGACUGACCUCACGCAGCGCAGCAAAUGCUUACUACUGUGCCCGCGGGUGUGGACAUCUCUGGAGAACGGGCGCGUAUCAGAGUGGCCCCUGGGGCCCCCAGUGGAGGGGACCAUACUCCAGUACAGCUGUCUGCCAGGAUUCAUCCUGAUUGGAAGGAACUCCACACACUGCAACAAGCUAGGCAAAUGGGACUCGCUCAAACC